rnacentral:rRNA from 1 species
GACUUAUAUUCUGUAGCAAGGUUAACCGUAUAGGGGAGCCGAAGGGAAACCGAGUCUUAACCGGGCGUUAAGUUGCAGGGUAUAGACCCGAAACCCGGUGAUCUAGCCAUGGGCAGGUUGAAGGUUGGGUAACACUAACUGGAGGACCGAACCGACUAAUGUUGAAAAAUUAGCGGAUGACCUGUGGCUGGGGGUGAAAGGCCAAUCAAACCGGGAGAUAGCUGGUUCUCCCCGAAAGCUAUUUAGGUAGCGCCUCGUGAAUUCAUCUCCGGGGGUAGAGCACUGUUUCGGCUAGGGGGCCAUCCCGGCUUACCAACCCGAUGCAAACUGCGAAUACCGGAGAAUGUUAUCACGGGAGACACACGGCGGGUGCUAACGUCCGUCGUGAAGAGGGAAACAACCCAGACCGCCAGCUAAGGUCCCAAAGUCAUGGUUAAGUGGGAAACGAUGUGGGAAGGCCCAGACAGCCAGGAUGUUGGCUUAGAAGCAGCCAUCAUUUAAAGAAAGCGUAAUAGCUCACUGGUCGAGUCGGCCUGCGCG